GUCGGUUGGUGUCGGUGCACGUUGGCGUACAACCUGGGCUGCGUGACAUUCUGCGUCAGUGUAUAGCGCUGGAGCCAAAACGAGGGAAACGAACUCCCAGGACAGCAACAAUUCGCAGACAGCAUAAUCCGAAACUAUACGCACGGGACGCCGCGCACAUGCAAAAGCGCGGGGAAAAGGCAGAGUUGUCAAGAUGUCGUUUGCAAUAGUGGAAUUCAUCGAAGCUGUGGAAGUUGAAGUGGUUCCUUCGACGUGGAUAGAAGGAGAUUUGUGUGCCUGGCCGAGUGGAAAGCGUGACAAAAUUACAAGACUGGUGAAGAGCUCUGCGACAGCACAGCGAGACUGG